UGGGGAAUAUUGCGCAAUGGGGGAAACCCUGACGCAGCAAUACCGCGUGAGUGAAGAAGGUUUUCGGAUCGUAAAGCUCUGUUAUUGGGGAAGAAAAAAAGACGGUACCCAAGAAGAAAGUCCCGGCUAACUACGUGCCAGCAGCCGCGGUAAUACGUAGGGGACAAGCGUUGUCCGGAUUUACUGGGCGUAAAGGGCACGCAGGCGGUUUUUUAAGGCAGGUGUGAAAGGGACCGGCUCAACCGGGGA
rnacentral:rRNA from 1 species